GAGCUUGCGGUUUAAUUGGAUUCAACGCCGGAAAUCUUACCGGGACCGACAGCAAUAUGAAGGCCAGGCUGAAGACUUUGCCGGAUUAGCUGAGAGGUGGUGCAUGGCCGUCGUCAGUUCGUACUGUGAAGCAUCCUGUUAAGUCAGGCAACGAGCGAGACCCACGCCCACAGUUGCCAGCGUACUCUCUGGAGUGACGGGUACACUGUGGGGACCGCCGCUGCUAAAGCGGAGGAAGGAAUGGGCAACGGUAGGUCAGUAUGCCCCGAAUAUCCCGGGCUACACGCGAGCUACAAUGGUUGGUACAAUGGGUAUCUACCCCGAAAGGGGACGGGAAUCUCCUAAAACCAAUCUUAGUUCGGAUUGAGGGCUGCAACUCGCCCUCAUGAAGCUGGAAUCCGUAGUAAUCGCGUUUCAACAGAACGCGGUGAAUACGUCCCUGCUCCUU
rnacentral:rRNA from 1 species